rnacentral:rRNA from 1 species
UACGUAGGUGGCAAGCGUUGUCCGGAUUUACUGGGCGUAAAGAGCGCGCAGGCGGUCGUGCAAGUCGCGUGUGAAAGCCCCCGGCUCAACUGGGGAGGGUCACGCGAUACUGCUCGACUUGAAGGCAGGAGAGGGAAGUGGAAUUCCCGGUGUAGUGGUGAAAUGCGUAGAUAUCGGGAGGAACACCAGUGGCGAAGGCGGCUUUCUGGACCGACACUGACGCUGAGGCGCGAAAGCUAGGGGAGCAAACGGG